rnacentral:tRNA from 1 species
GCCCCCGUAGCUCAGUGGAGAGAGCACCGGUAUGCCAAACCGGAGGUCGCAGGUUCGAAUCCUGCCGGGGGCG